AUAAUACCCCCUCUGUCCGGAAUUACUUGUCAUCAAAAUGGAUGUGUCUAGAACUAAAAUACAUCCAGAUACAUCCAUUUCAAUGACAAGUAUUUUCGUACAGAGGGAGUAGUAG
rfam:Triticum aestivum genome assembly, contig: Triticum_aestivum_CS42_TGACv1_scaffold_220672_3B